UAUAUAGGAUCACGUAAGGAGGGACCGGAAGCGGUUUGAGGAUCGUAUUAAACCCCCCGUAUUAAACCAGAAGCUGAAUUACACUUUGGUCCGUCAGGCAGUGAUGGUGGUCAAGUGUGUUCUAUUGAUGUAUUACAAAAACAGUAGAGGCCGCAAUUAUCGUAAACAGGAUUCUUUACUUGCCAUGAGCAAACUCAGAGAAAAGGUUGAUCUGGAGAAGAGUCGAGCAAAACAGGAUAGUGAUGGUGAGGAAAAGGAACUGGAAGUAACCAUCAGAGCAAAAAAUAAUGUUUGGGUCAUUUCUCGUAUAACAAGAGGGAAAGAGCUUUAUAUGGCUCUGGAGAAAGCCAACGAAACCUUACUUUAUGCCUCUGAUAUGGUGGAGAAAUUCAGCAACAGGUAUUAUCGGUUUUAUUUUAUUUUAUUUUACUUUUCAGCAUGAAUAGCUCUAAACACUCGAUAGCAAUAGUCAUGUGCAGACCUGAAAACUCACACAUCACUAAUCUAAUAGGCCAUUUUUCAGCCAAAGUAUUGCCAAGAAAGUAAUUACAGAAGAUUGGACAUAGCCUACACUGAGAAAUGUUUUCUUUUCUUGGUUGAAAGCAGGAUAUCUUAACCCAAUUAUAAGCAUUAAGUAGGUCUCAAAGAGUCUCUUUAGAACUCAAGGACACAUAUGAACAACUUAUAGAAUAGACUGUUUAUAUAUGUCCUUGCAUGAUGUGAAAUUAAUUGCACAUUAAUCCGGCAGAUUUUUAAUUGGCUCAAUUAGUCUUACAACCGCUACUUCAGCAUC